rnacentral:tRNA from 1 species
GUGGGUAUAGCUCAGGGGUAGAGCAUAUGCUUAGCAUGCACAAGGUCCUGGGUUCAAUCCCCAGUACCUCCA